rnacentral:rRNA from 1 species
AUUCCAGCUCCAAUAGCGUAUAUUAAAGUUGUUGCAGUUAAAAAGCUCGUAGUUGGAUUUCUGGCGGGAGCGAUCGGUCCUUCACUCAGUGUUGGAACCUGAUUGUCUCCUGCCAUCCAUGGAGAAAACUUAUCUGGCAUUAAGUUGUCGGGUAGGCAAUCUCCAUCUUUUACUGUGAAAAAAUUAGAGUGUUCAAAGCAGGCUUAUGCCGUUGAAUAUAUUAGCAUGGAAUAAUAAGAUAGGACUAUGGUACUAUUUUGUUGGUUUCGAACACCGGAGUAAUGAUUAACAGGGACAGUCAGGGGCACUCGUAUUCCGCCGAGAGAGGUGAAAUUCUCAGACCAGCGGAAGACGAACCACUGCGAAAGCAUUUGCCAGGGACGUUUUCAUUA